rnacentral:ribozyme from 13 species
ACGACCCCCGGCCGUGAUCGAAGGGCGAGAGCCACAGAAAGCCAUCCUCCUCCCCU